rnacentral:rRNA from 1 species
GACGAACGCUGGCGGCGUGCUUAACACAUGCAAGUCGUACGGUAAGGCCCUUUCGGGGGUACACGAGUGGCGAACGGGUGAGUAACACGUGAGUAACCUGCCCACAACUUUGGGAUAACGCUAGGAAACUGGUGCUAAUACUGGAUAUGUGCUCCUGCUGCAUGGUGGGGGUUGGAAAGCUCCGGCGGUUGUGGAUGGACUCGCGGCCUAUCAGCUUGUUGGUGGGGUAGUGGCCUACCAAGGCGGCGACGGGUAGCCGGCCUGAGAGGGUGACCGGCCAAAUUGGGACUGAGAUACGGCCCAGACUCCUACGGGAGGCAGCAGUGGGGAAUAUUGCACAAUGGGCGCAACCCUGAUGCAGCAACGCCGCGUGGGGGAUGACGGCCUUCGGGUUGUAAACCCCUUUCAGCAGGGACGAAGCUUUUUGUUACGGUACCUGCAGAAGAAGCCCCGGCUAACUACGU